AGUGAACGCUGGCGGUAGGCCUAACACAUGCAAGUCGAACGGCAGCACAGUAAGAGCUUGCUCUUACGAGUGGCGAGUGGCGGACGGGUGAGGCAUACAUCGGAAUCUACUUUUUCGUGGGGGAUAACGUAGGGAAACUUACGCUAAUACCGCAUACGACCUACGGGUGAAAGCAGGGGAUCUUCGGACCUUGCGCGAUUGAAUGAGCCGAUGUCGGAUUAGCUAGUUGGCGGGGUAAAGGCCCACCAAGGCGACGAUCCGGAGCUGGUCUGAGAGGAUGAUCAGCCACACUGGAACUGAGACACGGUCCAGACUCCUACGGGAGGCAGCAGUGGGGAAUAUUGGACAAUGGGCGCAAGCCUGAUCCAGCCAUACCGCGUGGGUGAAGAAGGCCUUCGGGUUGUAAAGCCCUUUUGUUGGGAAAGAAAAGCAGCAGGUUAAUACCCCGCUGUUCUGACGGUACCCAAAGAAUAAGCACCGGCUAACUUCGUG
rnacentral:rRNA from 1 species